GCCAGUCGGAAAGCUGGGUAGUACCUAAAGGUCGGUAACCGCAAGGAAGCCGGCCUAGGGUAAAACUAGUAACUGGGGGCU
rnacentral:rRNA from 1 species